UACAGAGGGUGCGAGCGUUAAUCGGAAUUACUGGGCGUAAAGCGUGCGUAGACGGUUAUUUAAGUCGGAUGUGAAAGCCCCGGGCUCAACCUGGGAAUUGCAUUCGAGACUGAAUAGCUAGGGUACGGUAGAGGGAAGCGGAAUUUCCGGUGUAGCGGUGAAAUGCGUAGAUAUCGGGAGGAAUACCAGUGGCGAAGGCGGCCUUCUGGACGGAUACUGACGCUGAGGCGCGAAAGCCAGGGGAGCAAACGGG
rnacentral:rRNA from 1 species